rnacentral:rRNA from 1 species
AGAGUUUGAUCCUGGCUCAGGAUGAACGCUGGCGGCGUGCUUAACACAUGCAAGUCGAACGAAGCACUUUAACCUGAUUCUUCGGAUGAAGGUUUUUGUGACUGAGUGGCGGACGGGUGAGUAACGCGUGGGUAACCUGCCUCAUACAGGGGGAUAACAGUUAGAAAUGACUGCUAAUACCGCAUAAGACCACGGAGCUGCAUGGCUCAGUGGGAAAAACUCCGGUGGUAUGAGAUGGACCCGCGUCUGAUUAGGUAGUUGGUGGGGUAACGGCCUACCAAGCCAACGAUCAGUAGCCGACCUGAGAGGGUGACCGGCCACAUUGGGACUGAGACACGGCCCAAACUCCUACGGGAGGCAGCAGUGGGGAAUAUUGCACAAUGGGGGAAACCCUGAUGCAGCGACGCCGCGUGAGCGAAGAAGUAUUUCGGUAUGUAAGCUCUAUCAGCGGGGAAGAAAAUGACGGUACCUGACUAAGAAGCACCGGCUAAAUACGUGCCAGCAGCCGCGGUAAUACGUAUGGUGCAAGCGUUAUCCGGAUUUACUGGGUGUAAAGGGAGCGUAGACGGCUGUGUAAGUCUGAAGUGAAAGCCCGGGGCUCAACCCCGGGACUGCUUUGGAAACUAUGCAGCUAGAGUGUCGGAGAGGUAAGUGGAAUUCCCAGUGUAGCGGUGAAAUGCGUAGAUAUUGGGAGGAACACCAGUGGCGAAGGCGGCUUACUGGACGAUGACUGACGUUGAGGCUCGAAAGCGUGGGGAGCAAACAGGAUUAGAUACCCUGGUAGUCCACGCCGUAAACGAAGAACACUAGGUGUCGGGGAACCAAACUCCUUCGGUGCCCCAGCAAACGCCAAUAAGUAAGUCCCCCUGGGGGAGUACGUUUGCCAAGAAAUGAAACUCAAAGGAAUUGACGGGGGACCCGCACAAAGCGGUGGAGCAUGUGGUUUAAAUUCGAAGCAACGCGAAGAACCUUACUUGCUCUUGACAUCCCGGUGACCGGCAUGUAAUGAUGCCUUUUCUUCGGAACACCGGUGACAGGUGGUGCAUGGUUGUCGUCAGCUCGUGUCGUGAGAUGUUGGGUUAAGUCCCGCAACGAGCGCAACCCUUAUCUUCAGUAGCCAGCAAUUCGGAUGGGCACUCUGGAGAGACUGCCAGGGAUAACCUGGAGGAAGGUGGGGAUGACGUCAAAUCAUCAUGCCCCUUAUGAGCAGGGCUACACACGUGCUACAAUGGCGUAAACAAAGGGAAGCGAGCCUGCGAGGGUAAGCAAAUCUCAAAAAUAACGUCUCAGUUCGGAUUGUAGUCUGCAACUCGACUACAUGAAGCUGGAAUCGCUAGUAAUCGCGAAUCAGCAUGUCGCGGUGAAUACGUUCCUCGGGUCUUGCACACACCGCCCGUCA